AGGGACGCGCACACAGGUGCUGCAUGGUUGUCGUCAGCUCGUGUCGUGAGAUGUUGGGUUAAGUCCCGCAACGAGCGCAACCCCUACCGUCUGUUGCCAGCAGGUGAAGCUGGGCACUCUGGCGGGACUGCCGGUGACAAACCGGAGGAAGGCGGGGAUGACGUCAAAUCAUCAUGGCCCUUAUGUCCUGGGCUACACACGUGCUACAAUGGCCGGUACAGCGUGUAGCAACACGGUGACGUGGAGCCAAUCGCUUUGAGAAAGCCGGUCUCAGUUCGGAUUGGAGUCUGAAACCCGACUCCAUGAAGGUGGAAUCGCUAGUAAUCGCGCAUCAGCAUGGCGCGGUGAAUACGUUCCCGGGCCUUGUACACACCGCCCGUCACACCACCCGAGUUGGGGGUACCCGAAGUCGCUGGCCCAACCCGGCAACGGGAGGGAGGUGCCGAAGGUACGCCUGGUGAGGGGGGUGAAGUCGUAACAAGGUAGCCGUACCGGAAGGG
rnacentral:rRNA from 1 species